AUGGGUUCUUCCUCGAGCAACGCCAGGGAAGCGCCGGCGGCGGCGCCACCGCCACCACCUCCUGCGCCGCCGGGCCCCCUCCACGCGAUGGACGCGGACGAGGACGACGAGAGCGUGAAGCAGCUCAACGAGUGCGCCGCCCUCUACCUCUCCCUCCAGGACUGCCUCGCCGAGUCCGACCGCAACUGGAAGGCCUGCCAAGCACAUGUUCAAGCCUUGAAAGCAUGUGAGGCGAGCAGAAACAAAAAUCAGAAAACAUGA
rnacentral:rRNA from 1 species